AUUACUUAUGUCUGAGACUGGCCCUGUUCAUGGAAUCAAAUGCAUACUCUUAAAAUAUUAGAUCAGAAAUUGAGAAUCUUACAUUAUAAAUACUUGUAUGUACCUGCACAUAUAUGGUACAGAUUAUAUCUGUUCUUUUGCCGAUUGAGAAUAAUGUUGAAGAGGAAUCAAUUAUAUUUUCAAACUAGUUGGAUUUUUUUUCAGUAUUUGUAUUUACUAUUUGUUUUUCUUUUCUCUCCAUAGAAACUCCCCAACUUUUAAAUCAUUUGAAGAAAAGGUCGAAAACUUAAAGUCUAAAGUAGGGGGAACCAAGCCUGCUGGUGGUGAUUUUGGAGAAGUCUUGAAUUCGGCUGCAAAUGCUAGUGCCACCACCACGGAGCCUCUUCCAGAAAAGACACAGGAGAGCCUGUGAGAUUCCUACCUUUGUUCUGCUACCCACUGCCAGAUGCUGCAAGCGAGGUCCAAGCACAUCUUGUCAACAUGCAUUGCCAUGAAUUUCUACCAGAUGUGCUUUUAUUUAGCUUUACAUAUUCCUUUGACCAAAUAGUUUGUGGGUUAAACAAAAUGAAAAUAUCUUCAC
rnacentral:lncRNA from 1 species